rnacentral:rRNA from 1 species
CCUACGGGUGGCAGCAGUGAGGAAUAUUGGUCAAUGGACGAGAGUCUGAACCAGCCAAGUAGCGUGAAGGAUGACUGCCCUAUGGGUUGUAAACUUCUUUUAUAAAGGAAUAAAACGAGGCACGUGUGCCUUUUUGCAUGUAAUUUAUGAAUAAGGAUCGGCUAACUCCGUGCCAGCAGCCGCGGUAAUACGGAGGAUCCGAGCGUUAUCCGGAUUUAUUGGGUUUAAAGGGAGCGUAGAUGGGUUGUUAAGUCAGUUGUGAAAGUUUGCGGCUCAAACGUAAAAUUGCAAUUGAUACUGGCAGUCGUGAGUACAGUUGAGGUAGGCGGAAUUCGUGGUGUAGCGGUGAAAUGCUUAGAUAUCACGAAGAACCCCGAUUGCGAAGGCAGCUUACUAAACUGUGACUGACAUUGAUGCUCGAAAGUGUGGGUAUCAAACAGGAUUAGCUACCCUUGUAGUC